rnacentral:rRNA from 1 species
CCUAACCGCGCGAAGGUAGCAUAAUCACUUGUUCUUUAAAUAGGGACUAGGUAUCAACGGCACCACGAGGGUUAUACUGUCUCCUAUUUCAAAUCAGUGAAACUAAUCUCCCCGUGAAGAAGCGGGGAUAUACUUAUAAGACGAGAAGACCCCAUGGAGCUUCAAACCCCGCUACACCCCGAUCUCUAUAACCCACUUAACCCACACGGACCCCUGUAUAGCUGGUUUUCGGUUGGGGCGACCACGGAGUACAACAAAACCUCCACAAUGAACGGGACUAAUCCCUCACCUAAGGCCCACACCCCUAAGAAUUAGAAUACUAACAUAAAGUGAUCCAUUAUUUGAUCAAUGAACCAAGUUACCCUGGGGAUAACAGCGCAAUCCACUUCAAGAGC